GAUGAACGCUAGCGGGAGGCCUAACACAUGCAAGCCGAGCGGUAUGGAUAGCUUGCUAUCCAGAGAGCGGCGUACGGGUGCGUAACACGUGUGCAACCUACCUUUAUCUGGGGGAUAGCCUUUCGAAAGGAAGAUUAAUACCCCAUAAUAUAAUGAUUGGCAUCAAUUAUUAUUGAAAACUCCGGUGGAUAGAGAUGGGCACGCGCAAGAUUAGAUAGUUGGUGAGGUAACGGCUCACCAAGUCAAUGAUCUUUAGGGGUCCUGAGAGGGAGAUCCCCCACACUGGUACUGAGACACGGACCAGACUCCUACGGGAGGCAGCAGUGAGGAAUAUUGGACAAGGGGUGAGAGCCUGAUCCAGCCAUCCCGCGUGAAGGAUGACGGUCCUAUGGAUUGUAAACUUCUUUUGUACAGGGAUAAACCUACCCUCGUGAGGGUAGCUGAAGGUACUGUACGAAUAAGCACCGGCUAACUCCGUG
rnacentral:rRNA from 1 species